GACGAACCGUGCGAACGUUGUUCGGAAUUACUGGGCGUAAAGGGCGCGUAGGCGGCUCGGCACGUCCGUUGUGAAAUCGCCCGGCUCAACUGGGCGGGGUCGGCGGAUACGGCCGAGCUGGAGCAAGCUAGGGGGUAAUGGAAUUCCCGGUGUAGUGGUGGAAUGCGUAGAUAUCGGGAGGAACACCAGUGGCGAAGGCGGUUACCUGGAGCUUUGCUGACGCUGAUGCGCGAAAGCGUGGGGAGCGAUCCGG
rnacentral:rRNA from 1 species